AGGAUCCAGUUCUGGAGGGCAGGAUGAAGGUGGUGGAGGACUAGUCGGGGGAGGGGAUAACCAAAGUGGAGCCGGUGGGAGUUCAAGGCCCCACUUCUGCUCUUGUCUUCCAAGCCCACUAUUUAGCAAGGACUGCCAGCCACACCCCAGUGCUCCCCGGGAAAACUGGUGUCAGGAUGGGCCGGGCUCCAGCGAGACUCUUGACAAACAGCACACAGCCGAAAGCAGGACUGGGGUUCGACAUCUUUUCCACAGUCUGUACAUAAAAAACCUCUCUCCUUUAAACGUUGGUGGAUUUUUUUUUUCUUGCUCUAGCAUUUUCUCAGAAGAUGCAAGUAAUGCAUCGGCUGCCCUACAGUUUCCCAGGCUAGGGGUCAGAGUGUCAGGUUUUCAUUACCUCAUGGCAGUUCAGUCCUGACACAACAUAGAAUGGUACAGGAUUCUAGCCUUCUUGCAAACAAAUGAAAGUUAAUUUUAAGAAGAUACUCUUGAGCUGGAAUUCUAUCCCUGUUCUUGCUUCUGUUCCCUUGGCUUUGAGACUUGAGGAGACUGCCUUCCCAACCUCAUGCUCAUUGCUAUCAUCAUCCACUGUUGUCAAUUAGAUAACACCUGUGAGUAGAACUGUGUUUAUUGUAGAAGGGCUGUGCAGAAACUCAUAAGCGCUAUCAGCAGAAAUGGCCCAAGUCUUGACACAAAACCCCAAGACACCAUGAAUUCAUUCAAAGGACAUGUACUGAGUCUACACCAGGUGCCUGUCACCAUAGAGCUGUGGAGGACACAACAGAGAACAGAGGCCGUGGCUGCUGCCCCAAAGAUGCUUGGAACCUUGUUUUUCUUUUAAUUUAACUUUUGAUUUAUUCUUUGUGGCUUUCACAUCAUCAUUCAUCUGCCUGUCCCUUCAUAUCUUCCCUCUGCCCUUGUAAGCAUUCUUCCUGGCUCAUCAUCCUUCUGAAGCCCCCAACUACCUCAGGGACACUGUGGUUGAGCUUUGAGGAACAGGGACACACACGAGUCUUCCUUCCAUACUUUAGGGUUGGUCGGUUUGAAGACAGAGAAGAGGGUUGAUUGGUCAUGUCAACAUGCCAACUGUUGAGAGUUCAGGCCCUGACCUUGGUGAGCCAGUCCAUCAGGGGUGCCUGCUGGUGGGAGACAAAAGUUGCCAGGCUUUUGUCCCAAGUCAGGAGGUUGAAGAAGCUGGCAAUCUUGGGAAUUGCCACCUUUAUUUCCUAGCCAUGGCCCCUCUCCCUAUCCGUCCACCAGGGAGGCUGUCUAACUCCUGGUCUCUGGAGACUAAGUGGCAGAGGGACAGCUGAAGCCUUGUUCUUCCCACGGGUACAGAUUCAUAUUUGCAAAGCCAUGCCACCAAGAAGGCCCUCCAUCACUGAACCCAGAAGAGAAAGUUUGCGUCUAACACAGCAAGCAUUACUGAAGAUGCCCUGGGUGUGAGACUUGUGUUCGAGGCCUGUCCAAGGCACUAAAGAGAAGAUGGGGUCAGGGACAGGCUCUGAGCCUUCCUCCACCCCUACAUUCAUGGCACUGUGUGAUUCUCUCCCACAGGCAGAAUCAGACAAAGGGAUUCUCAGACUGCACCAGUUUUAGGCACCCAGGAAAUAACAUAGCUACCCAUCAUAUGAUUUUCACUGUUGGGGUCAGCGAAAGUGGUUCAGUCAGCAACUGUUUUAGGAUUUUGGGCCACAUGCAAGUUUCUAUGACUACUACUUAACUGUUGUUGAGGCGUGAAAGCAGCCACAGAUGUGUGGGAGUGAGUGGGUGUGGCUGGGUGCCAGCCCUAAAACGCCUAUCUCCAUGUUCAGAUCGUAGAACGUUCUUCUGUUGAUUUUUAUCAACCUCUACAAGUGUGAAACCUCAUUCUUAGUUUGUGGAUCAUACAAAACAGGUGUUGGAACCGUGAGCAGUGGUUACCUGUCUCCCGGUUGUAGAAGAACAAAGAGAUCUCUCAGUCAGUCCCACGCCCCAUACUGGGUACCCGGAGUUCCUCUACACAUACUUUCCCCACUCUGUGUUGAACUGUACUUCCUAGUGUUUUCUUUUAAGAAAGAGGCAUUCUGGGAAGAGAAGCCUAUUAAAUUCCAGCACAUCCAUCUUGACGUUGGUGAGUUCAAACUUAAAUUCCACAGGGCCCACGGCCUUUCAUCAGCCCUGCUCACUGUGAAGUUCACUGUUACCAGCCUGGCCAAUAAAUGAGAUUUUAGCAAUAGCCUGGAAAUACUGAUGGUGGAUAAGCGACCUUUCAUUCUAACUUGAAACACCGAGGAGACCAGCAGCAGAGGCUGGGACCAGGCCUGAUAAUGAGACCAGAGCAGCAGCAGAAAGAUGCUUGCUGGCCUCUAGACCAGGGUGGUGCUCAAGUCCACUCAUGCCUUGUGAAGCUGGUGGGCUUGAAGCAGGAAGAACCUGGGGCGUGCCAGUGUCCCGUGGAAACUGGAAGAGGCUCAAAGCCAUGUACAGCACCUGGAGAAGUAGCAUCAAGGCCCAGUGGACUCGGUGAUCCAUUUCAGCGAAGCUGAUCCGUGUAGUUCUUGCCAAGGAAAACAUUAGGACUUGACAAGAUCUGGCAAGUCCCCGAGACAUGAGUUUGUGUGGUGUAAAGUGAGAAGGGCCUUUUGGAAGACGGGGUGAAUCUGAACAGACCGUGGAAAAGUGUGCACAGGGUAUUAAAAGCUCCAUCUUGUACAGAAGUGCCAAGGAAAGGCUGAAAGAGGGGACUGCCUAGUCCUCCUACACUGGUCCGGGUUUCCUAAUCAGGCACAUCAUAAAACAGUGUAACACUGGAUGAUGUGGAAUGUAUUACUAAAAACAAUUCAGGUUUGCCUUUGUGAUUACAAUGAAUGUAUCAACUAGAAUGCUUACUGCAUGGACAAGUUCUUGGAGAUAAACUAGCCAAUCAAUAGAGCUCCAGCCUUGCUCUCUGGCUCCGGAGUUUUUCUGUACAGAGAAAGAUGAACAACUAGCCACUGAUUUGGUCCUCAUUUCUUGCUUAUGGACAUUUACAUUAGAUUCGGUGGAUCCCAAAAUUGCACAUGGAGCUUCCUGUUUCCUGACAUCCAAUUCAUUCACUCCUCAAACUAAUAUACGAAAGUUCUCCGUGGAUGCAAACAGGUAUCCAGGGAUAACCAGAGCCUCCGGGGCUGGGUGCUGAGAAGAUAUGACCUGUGGAUGUCUUACUGUGUAUCCUAAAGCAGUAGACUGGCACGGCCCAUCAGAAGAGGAACACUACCUCUGCAGUUUAGAGACAAAGGUUGCUAUUGGGCAGUGCAUGGUGGUGUUCAGAUACAAACUAAUCCUUACUGUGCCCCCCCCCCACCAGGACGGACUUCACCUCGCCUAUGACUCGACCUGAGUGGCCAUCUCAUCCUGUGCCUCCUUCCCCAAGUACUGUUACAUCCAAAGCCAUAGAAGGCGAUUCUGGAGUUGGGGAAAUGGAGAGGACCGUCCCAAGGAGCCGACCUUGUGCCUUUGGAGGCAUAAUCCCAACCUUCUCUCUUCCAAGGCAGUAAAUUCGGGGAGGGGCGAACCACGCCACAGCCCUUCCACCAAACCUGGGGCUGGGAGCAGAAACACAAGAAAGGCAGGACACUUGCGUCUUGGCCUGCCCUGAUCGCAAUUCAGCUGAGGGGGUUAAACUCUCCCACUCUCCGCAACCCAAUUCAGGUUCCAGUUCUCUGAGAAGGGCAGAACAGGUGUCUCUCCCAACAAAGGGUCAUUUAUCCACAGUGCCCUUCCAUUCAGGGAGGUGGCCUGAGCCAGCCUCACAAGGUCUCAAGGACAAACCCAGCAGCCCCUUCUAAGUCACAUCCAAACUUGACCAAACUUGUGCAGACGUGUCCAAAAAUGAUAAGACUAAUCCUCAGCCAAUUAAAAGUAUACUAAUGUAACUGCUGCUUGCUUAACCAAUUACGUUUGAGAUGACCUAACUGCUCCUGAAAUCCCCCUAGCUGUGAUUAAAAAGAUCCUGCAUGCUCCUCUCAGGGUCACCGCCUGUUUCGUACAGGUGAAAGACCCCACAUGCAUGCUGGAAUAUUAAUAAACACUCUUUGCUCUUGUAUA